rnacentral:miRNA from 1 species
UCUUGCUAUUGUGAAUUGAGCUGCUAUGAACAUCGAUGUAGCAGUGUCCCUGUAGCAUGCUCUUUUUAGGUCUUUAGGGACACUGCUACAUCGAUGUUCAUAGCAGCUCAAUUCACAAUAG